rnacentral:lncRNA from 1 species
UUUUGGUGCGUUCUGGCUACAGCUUCUUGGGGGUCUGAGAUUCGUAAAUCAUUUUGGCAAAAUGAAAGAAGCCCUCGAGCAUUUGAGAAAGAGAAAGGAAACCCAUCAGCUAGGGUUCGUGAAGAAAAGAAGGGUUCAGCUAGGGUUCGUGAAUCAGCAAUGAGAAGAAGAAGAAAGCAGCAGUUCGUUAUCUGAGUUGGUCGGAAGCAUGUGCGGAGCUUGAAUAGUUGGAGACCAGGUUCAGAGUUAGUUGAAGGCCAAACGAGAAGCUUCUGAGUUAGUUUGUGAUUCCCCUCAUUUUCCCUUUUUCUCUCUUUUUCUGUUUUCAAUCUUUUCUAUAAAAGGAAGUCUUUGUAAUGAACAAUAUACGUGCACUGGGUGACAGGCAGUGUACUUAGACUAGGUUUUUGCAUUCUCUCGCUUUAGAGUAGAUAGUGGUGGGUGACAGACAUCACUUGUAGGGUUUACAUUGCGAUUCAGUUUUCAAUUCUUGGUUUAGUUUAGGUUUAUCAAGCUUUUCUUAGAGAUAGAACUCCACUCUUUUCUCCGGAAGUCGGAGAUGAUCACAUUGGGUAACAGACUUUGUGGAUAAUCUUUGAUUUAUGGUAUCUAGUAUUUUCAUUUCAGCUUGCAAUACAAAGUUUAUGUUUCUGUUUGUUCCAAUUUACAUUUCUUUGAUCGCCUUUCAAUUCAAUUUACAUUUCUUGCCUUUGAAUUUACUUUUUCAGCAAUUUUAUUGAUUAUGCUUAUGAUUUAGGUUCUUGCAUUGAUUCCAUUCUUUUGAUACUGGUUUCUGAAUUUGAUGAUGUGUUCAUAUUAGAGUUAACAUUUUGAUUCUGUUUCUUAUUGCUUUUAGAGUAGUUUUAUGAUGUUCUUGAUGAGUGAUAUGAUAUAUUUUUGGAUUGUAUCAAUAUUGGGUUGAUGAAUUGAGUGAGAGUCACCAUUUCAAGUCCUGCAAUAUGGACUCAAAGACCCUAAAGUGGGCUUUAUUUUACCGGAUGUCUUCUUGAGAGUGACUGAGACUCUUUUCACUAAAUCAAUAUGUGUUAAAUCUGAAAAUUGUUUUCAAUUGAAUUCCUUGUAUGAUUCUUUGCUUAGUUGGUUUGUUAGAUGAUAGAUUUAGGAAAAUUGCUUCAUUCUUGUUUCAGUUUUGUAUUUUUAGUAUUGUUACCAUUUGAGAUCUUUUUUGUCUUGCAAUUUUAAAUUUUCAUUUGUAGAAUUAGGAAUCUCACGUGUUUUGUCCCUGCAUCUAGAAUUAAGCAUUUAGUUUCUUUAUUUUUUUUUUAUGCAUCUGGUUUUAGUUUCUUUAGGUUCAAUAGUUAAAUUUCUUAGCAUUAAUCAUUUUAGCAGAUAUAAUCAUGCAUUUUCAUAUUUUAGAUUUCAUAAAUUUUUCUUUCCCCACCUAGUAAUAGUAAAUAAGUAAAAUAUGUUUUAAUUCUACAAAUUCUAAACUUAACAAGAAUCCAGUCCUUCGAUUAGACCCUAGGUUACCCCUAUACUACAUUAGUCGGGAAUUUAGGUUUGUUGAGCUUUAAUGCAACUAAAAAGCCUUUCAACACACCUCCUACUCUCCCAAUCAUAAUUGAUUCAAGAGUUCUAAAGGGAGUUUUCCAAACUUUGAACUCUUAUCUUUUCAUUAAUGAUUCUCAUUUCUUGAUUUCAACCUUUACUUUUGAAAGUCUUUUACCUCCACUAUCACUUCCCAUUAUUUUUAACUCCUCAAUAACCUUUGAAAAAUCACUCUUUGAGUUGUUGUUACCUCACAAGUUACAAAUAACUCAAGGUGAACAAAAAUAUUUUUGUAAGUUAGGUCUUAUAACUUUUGAAUAAACUAAAACAAGAGAUGUCCUAUACUUCAAGUGUUUUGAGAGAAGGAACAUUUAUUUUGAAUAUCCUCCCAAAAGAACAUUGCUUUCAAAAGAUCAACAUACAAGAAGCUUGGAUAACUCUCAUUCUUCACCUAGUGAAGAAAAAGUUUUAGAUUCUGUAGAAAAUAUAAAUUUUCCUCAUGAAAAUCUUUUCAAAAAUAAAAGGCCUUAUUUCUUUCUUCUUUUGUAUAUGCUUUUAUCACUAGAACAACUUUUUGAAAUAAAGGCCAACAAUACUUUUCAUAAAACCCUUUCCAAAAACAAAAGACCUUCUUUCUUUGUUCUUUUGUUUAAGUCUAUUCUUUUAAUAAUACUCCGAUUUGCUAUUUGUAGUAGGUACAUUUUUUAUCUAGGAGGAGAUCAUUACACAAAAAGUUGUGCUUCCUCAAAUAUCUUUCCGAUCUAGGACAAAUCAUUUUUAGGAGGGAGCGUAUGAUGGAAUCCGUUUUGAGAACUAAAUGGAGAUCCAUGAAGGGAGCAUCAACUAAAGCUAAGGCUAGGAUAUUGGAAGAAGAAGAAGGACUUUCAAGCUUGUUCUUGUGUUCCCUUAAGCCUUAGAAGACAUUAGACCUCUCAUAAAGAGCCAUGGUCAAAGAAGAUGGAAGAAGAAGAUGGAGCUUGAAGGAUUCUAGUCUUAUGGACGGUCACAUUUUAGUCUUCUUCUUUAUCUUAAAACACAUUUUGUAAAUAUGUAAUAUAGCUCCUUUAUAGGCCUUGUAUUUGGCCAAGACACUUUGUUUAGCUUUGCUUAGAAGGUUUGAUGGCUUUAAGAGUUAAAAAUGGGUUAAAAAUGGGUUUUGGAAGGAGUUAGUUGCAAGGAGUCUUUGCAUUAAAUGCUUUGACUAAGUUAGUUACAAAGCAUAAAGCUUCUCACAUUUAAUGUUUAGCCUCCUCAUUUAAUGCUUAGGCUCCUCAUUUAAUGUUUAGGUUUCUCAUUUAAUGAUGAGGCUUCUUAUUAAAUGAUGAAAAGGCUCCUAAGUACUUCAUAUGUACUCUAGCCUUCUCUUUCACCUAUAAAAAGAGAGGCACCCUUUUGUAAUCCUUCUCUUCUUAAGUUCUCAUCUUAUGAAAUUGUCUUCUUCUAAACUUCUUCAUAAAUUCUCCUUAAUGGUUGGCUUAACUUCCUAGAAAGACAUCUACCAAGACCAUACAACACCAACAUCUUCAUCUCUUCAUAUCUAUUUUCUUGCGCUACUUUUAUUGAUCAUCAUGGAGUCCACCCCUUUAAAGAAGCUUCCCCAAUUCAUCAUGGAUAUCAUCUUAUGUUGAAGGAACCUCUUCAAAGCAAUCUCCAUCAUUAAGCCUAGAUUUUUUUUUAUUGAUGAACAUCAUCACCAUUUAAGUCAUUCGACCUCAUAUACUUCUCAAACACAAAUACAUGCUAAGCAUUUUUCCUCAUUCCAAAUAAACCCAACUUGCAAUUUUCAACCAUCCCUGUCCCUUUCACUCCAUCUGUUUUGGAAAUGAAAUAUAGAUGCAAGUAAUUUAUAUAAGGUGCCAUAUCAUAGUAUUUGUAAUACACAUACAUGGUGAAUACAUCCAAUAGAUUAGAGGAUAGUAUUUGAAACUUCUUAAGGGAGAAAUUUGGCUCUAUAGAACAAUGAUUGAAGUUGUCUCCCUAGUGUACAUUAUUUUUUUUACAAGCCAAGAGCACCAAGGGGAGUCUUGCCCUGUCCAGCCUCAAAGUAAAAAAUCAGCAUGGCCAACAUUGCAAUCCUGGCAUGCUUUAUCUCAGCCAAUUUCAGUCUCUGUAGCUUGUCUGCAUCAGGAAUGUAAACACCAUCCUUGAUUGUGCCAGCAAAUCCCAAAGGGUCAAAGAAUUUGCCCCCAGGGUAGCCUUGAUCACCAGUGGAGUUGCCAAAAUUCUCAGCAGUUUUUGACCACGGGGUAGCCCAUUCCACUGACUGAGAAUCUGGGUUGAAGAAAUCCACCCAUCUCUUGCUCUCAACCCAUCCCAUUAGAAGCAACUGGGUGCCCAAAAGAGAACCAAAGGAGAAAGGAGCAACUGCAUUAGGAUCAGCUCCAGCCUCAAACCAUGGAACUCCACUCCAUGCCUGCCCAAUAAAGAUGCCUACAACUGCAGCCAUCGCCCACCUCCCAUGAAUCAGUUCAGCUUCUCUAUACCAUUUCAGAAAUGCUGGGUCUUUCCCCAGUCCCAGAGGGUCAAAACCAUAGUCACCUGGUAGCCUGCAAUUGCAACAUUCAACAGGAAAUGAAUCCACCAAAACAAUGUUAACACUUGUCAUAAUGAUACUCUUUCAACUUUUCAUUUCAUCAGUCUUUUUUUCUUGAUUUUGAAUAAAUUUCAAUCAACUAUUAAAAGAGAUGCUAGAAUGAGUGUGUAAGAAAAGAUAAAUUGAAAGGACUUACGAGCCAUCAAGCCAUUCUGGGUCAAUGAAAUUCCCACCACCUUUUACAGCAGGGAUCCAUGACUUCUUUGGAGCAGCAGCAACUGCUACAAUGAGUCUUUUAGGACUAACAGCAGCACCAACUUUGGCUCCAAUGCCAGCAGCAAGCAGUGCCUGACUCCUCUUUCCUCCACACAAGAACUGAG